rnacentral:rRNA from 1 species
ACUGGUCGAGUGACUCUGCGCCGAAAAUGUACCGGGGCUAAACGUAUCACCGAAGCUGCGGACUGUUCUUCGAACAGUGGUAGGAGAGCGUUCUAAGGGCUGUGAAGCCAGACCGGAAGGACUGGUGGAGCGCUUAGAAGUGAGAAUGCCGGUAUGAGUAGCGAAAGAGGGGUGAGAAUCCCCUCCACCGAAUGCCUAAGGUUUCCUGAGGAAGGCUCGUCCGCUCAGGGUUAGUCGGGACCUAAGCCGAGGCCGAAAGGCGUAGGCGAUGGACAACAGGUUGAUAUUCCUGUACCACCUCCUCACCAUUUGAGCAAUGGGGGGACGCAGGAGGAUAGGGUAAGCGCGGUAUUGGAUAUCCGCGUCCAAGCAGUUAGGCUG